rfam:Gloeobacter kilaueensis JS1, complete genome.
GCCGAUGUGGCGCAGUGGUAGCGCAUUCGAUUCGUAAUCGAACGGUCGCGAGUUCGAAUCUCGCCAUCGGCU